GGGGUAUUAUUGUUAUAAAAAAUAAUAAUAAUAGUAUUAUUAUUAUUGUGCUUCGGGCUUUAGGCUGUACUGAUAACGCAGAGGUCUCUUCCUCUGGGCUGUUUAAAGGGCCAGUUUAUCCAAAUGAGCAAAGCUGUGUAUAUACCAGCUGCUGUCAGGCUUCAAAUGUUUGCAUUGGUCCCCUCCACAGUCCACUGUUUUGUAAGCCAUUGCUUUACUGCAUAAGUUCCCAUCUACUGUAACAAGAUGGAGAUAAGCAGGCACAUAAAGGCAUGCUGUAGGUUGACUUUGUCUUUUCUGAUUCGUCGGUUUGUGUGGCUCUUUUCACAGGAGUGACCUAACCCACACUUUUACUUAUAUGAUAAAUGAAGUUUAGUGUAAUGUGGUGCAAAAUACAGUGUUUUCUUUUAAUUUAAUAACAUGAAGCUGCAUCAAGUUUCCAUGGUGACUGUUCAAGAAAUUCUGCAUUCAUAAAUAAACAUCAGACUGUCAAAGGAGCUCAUCUGUGUGACAAGACCACCGAGUGGAGAGCAUUUUCAGGUUGAGAUCCCACCGUACGCCAUCAUUGGAGAGCAUUUAAAAGGUUUUCUUCCCGACUGUGAUUUGACAACGUCUAAAUGGAAUCAAGUCAAGGAAUCUAUAAACCUAUCAGGGUGUUGUUCAUCUUCCGGGCUACAGGACCCAGAUUCAUGCAAACCAAAGCUGACAGAAAAUAUCAGGUAAUUUCUGAGGACCUGAGCGUGGUGGUGAUUAAAUGUCUCCUUUUACUUUUAGAUUGCAAUUAUGACGGAGUUUCUCAGACUUCAGCAGGAAGAUCUAAUUCCACCUAACCUCACUGCUGAAGAUCUGAGAGAUCUUUUGGUGGAGAAGAGCAGGGAGACACUCAGAGAGCAGUGAGGCUGUGGGAGUUUAAAUUGGAGGAUUUUGAAGAAGAGGAAGCCAAACCUCUUCUAAGGCUGGUAUGGGCAGUGAACGUCAUCAAUAAAAUGAGGGAUGCUGAAUUUCAAGCUAGAAUGCUUCUUCGGUUCCCAGAGGCCAUACCUCCUAAAUUUCAACCACCUAAACUCCUCAGCGUGGUGAAGGAUUACAUUGAAAUCCUGAAAAAGAAGCAGCAGGAACAGCAUAACAGCAAAUUGCUCACCGCGCAGGAGGUAGUGAUCGAGGUAGUUCCCCGCGUUCUCCAGGGCUUCUGGGAGCUUCCUCCUCGUCCCCUCCUAAACAUGGCCUCCCAGAGUCUAAGCAUCCUCUCCACGAGUGUCACCAAGGCCACUUUAGAUCGUGUCGCCAAGAGUCUCACGGCGGAAACACAGGCCAUCUUCACCCGCUCCAUCCGAGACAAUAUGGUCGACAGCAUCCUGACAGAGAUCAGGCAGAAAUUUCCUCCAGAAAUUCUGUCUAUCAAAAUUGCAAACUUUGCACCAGUGUUGCUGAAGACCAUUGCUGAUGUAGCAAUGAUCCGGAUAUGUGAAAUGUUUGAGCCCCCUUCAAGUCUUCCUGAUGUGAAGAACACAAAUGAAGAACGCUCCUCUGACGGUCUUUCAAUGGCAAAUGUUCCACCAGCCGAAGGAUCUUUUUCAGAAGGUGUGCCAGAGCCUGAUGUUCCCUGUGAGGAACUUCUUCCUGAAAGUUCACCUAGUCUGAAGGCUGAAGACCUUACAAUUGAAGGAGCUCUUUCAGAAAGUGUGGCAGUGGCUGACGUUCCCUGUGAGGAACCCUUUGCCGAGUCCGAAUCCAGUGUUAACGGCAAAGAUCUUAAGAUCGAAGGAUCUCUUUCGGAAAUUGGGCCAGUUCCUGAUGUUCCAUGUGAGGAACCUUUUCCUGAACCCAAAUCCAGUAUGAAGUCUAAAGACCAUCAGAUCAAUAAUAAUAAGAAGAAAAGGGGCUUCUUCAAAAGACUUAAAAGUCUGUUCUGCUGUUGUUGCAGACCAAAAGACACUGACUGACAUUGAAACUGAAAUUGUCACCGUACUGGGUCUGUGACCCAGCACUGGUGUUCCAGUAACUAAAUAUGUAAAUUUGUUCCUUGAUGAUUGUUGUUCAUGUUUUGGGGGUUUCUUUAGUUUUCAGUGGGCUGGGUGUUUUUUCUUUCCCUUUGUGUUCUUUACUUAAUUCUUGUUCAUAGUUCCUGAUUUGUUUUCCUAGUUCUUGUUACUUAGUUUUUAGUUUUUUGAGUCCAGUUGAGUUUCUAUAUGAGUUUUGAGUUUUUGGUUUGUUUUUGUGACGUUCAUCUCUAAUGAAAAUGUUUUUCCAGCAAAUUUAAGUUAAAUUAAUAAUACAUUAAAAGUGAAAUAAAUUAAGUCAUUCCAUGUAAGAGUCCUGUGUUUGGGUCCUACAACCUGC
ensembl:lncRNA